rnacentral:rRNA from 1 species
AGCUCCAAUAGCGUAUAUUAAUACUGUUGCAGUUAAAACGCUCGUAGUUGAAUUCAAGGUGAGUUCAAAGUUUUUCACUUGAUUGUGAAAAUUUUGUCUGACCUUUUGCCUACUAGAUACUCUACUCUGCACUUAAUUGUGUGGGGUAUUGCCUAGCCAGCAUGAUUGGGAUUGUUUAUCUCCUCAAUGGAAGUCAAAGUGUAAAAACUGGAAAUUUUCAAUGUGGAUCAAGGUAAAUAAUUUCAAUUGGGUUCUAGUUUUUUUACUUUGAGUAAAUUAGAGUGUUCAAAGCAGCCUCUUGGGGCUUUGCAUAGAUUUAGCAUGGGAUAAUAGAAUAGGAUUUGAUCUCCUAUUUGUUGGUUUGAGAUGAUCAGAUAAUGAUUAAUAGGGAUAGUUGGGGGCAUUUAUAUUAAGUGGUUAGCGGUGAAAUGUGUGGACCCACUUAAGAUAAACUAAAGCGAAAGCAUUUGCCAAGGAUGUUUUCA